rnacentral:rRNA from 1 species
UUUAUCAAAAACAUGGCUGUUUCUAUAUUGAAGAUAGAGAGUCGGACCUGCCCGGUGAAUUUUUUAACGGCCGCGGUACUCUGACCGUGCAAAGGUAGCAUAAUCAAAAAAAAAAAUAAUUGAAGGCUAGAAUGAAUGGUUUGACAAGAAUACAACUGUCUCUUUACAAUUACAUAAAAUUUUAUCUGCAGUUGAAGAAGCCUGCAUUUGAAUAAAAGACAAGAAGACCCUAUCGAGCUUAAAAAAAACUGGUGGAAUAACAAACUUAAUCCUAACUUAUAAAUAAAUAAAUAGUCAACUACUGGAAAUUUUGGUUGGGGCGACCGGGGAACAAAAAAAACUUCCUUUAUAAAAAUUUAGAUGCCCAAAUAUUGAUCCAGCAUUAUAUGAUUAAAGAAAUUAGUUUCCUUAUUAUAACAGCAUUAUCUUUUUUAAGAGUUCUUAUCGAACUUCCCUUUGUGACCUCGAUGUUGGACCAGAAUAUCCUAAAGAUGCAGCC